GGGUCUUGGCCCGUCGCCCACGGUGCGGAGGGCUGGUGGGCUUUCCUUGGCCGUCGGGCCCGCCACGGCGCGGGUCUUGGCUGCGGGGCGGAGGUGGGGCGGGAGAGCCGAGGAUAAGAGUUUGAGGCUUUUCGAGGCGCGUGCCGCGGCGUCCGCCUCUGCGGGACUCUGCGCCGGGCGCCCUCGGCCGGCGCGCCCGGCUCCCGCUUUGUCGCCGAGGGAAGCACGCGCGACGCCCCUCCCGUCGCCGCCGUGGCUUCUUUCGGUGUUCGUGAUUUGCUGAGAGGCUGGAAAGCAGCACGGCGGAGAGGAGCCUUGCACUCGCCAGGCGGGAAGCCUGCGCGGACACGCGUGCGCACCCACGGGGCGGCGGGCGGGCGUGGGGGGUCCGGGCCACGCGGGCGACGCGCCUCUAGGGAAGCGAUCUUGUUGCACCUUCCCGUUAUUCUGAAAGCAAAUCGUAGCCAGACCCGAGCGCAGCGGCUUAGCAAAUAAUAAGGGGAGCGUCAGUCGUGCUCGAAAUGCUUCCUUCGCGAUGGCGUCAGUGUUCCGUGAGGGAAUGAAGCCGCAGUAGGAAAUAAAGAGGCUGUGCGCGUAGUCUGAAAAGCAGAAGUCAACAUUUUUACAGAUGAAGAAAGAAUACGGAGGCAAGAGGUCUUUCUCUGCAGUUUGGUGGAUUUCCAACAUUUAGACUUGUUUGGAAGAAUUUCCUCAGCUGCACCAAUGAAGUCCUUGAUCUAUAGAAGUCGGCAGUCCCUAAAUCUACGUCUGCAUUUUGUUGCAAAUCCUUUAUAACAUUCCAUUAAAAUAAUGCAGAGUUAUUUAAUAUCCAGUUGGCCAUCGUGAGAGUAAUUCGCGGCUGAGAUUUUGUUAAUCAUUCUGUCUUCUGACUUAACAGUGAACGUAGGUGAUUUUUUUUGUAAAAUGUUGCUUCACAUGAAUUGUGAGAAUCACCUCUAAGUUUGAAUUGUACUGAAGGCACUAUAAGAAUUUCAAAUGAACGCUGAGUAGCCAGUAGCCUUCUGGCCUUUUCGUUUAACAAGCACAGAGUUCGUUUUUAAAAUUAAGUUACUUUGACAGAGGAAAUGUAAUAGCCUUGGUAGACAACAUUAAAAAUGUAACUGUCAGAUGUUUUAAAGUCUCCAACAGCCGUAUCUGUUUUAGAGCCAUAGAAUAUUUACUUACUGAAUUGCCUGUUUAAAGAUGAACUUUCUAAAUGCAGGGAAUAGUAACUUGCAAAAAAGCUAUGGUCUCUAAGUAAUGAAGGCUGUUUCAGUACCUAGAAAAAUCAAAAUCAAGGUUUUGAUGCUGCUAGUGUAAAAGAUGCAAUCCCCUUCUUAAUGGCCUGCUUAUUUAUUAAGCUCCUAGGCACUAUGCUGAAUGCCCUACAUGCAUAUCUCGUUUAAUCAUCAGUACAACUUGGGCUUAGGUUAGACUGUUAUCCCCAUUUUACAAAUAAGGGGAAACCCAAGAAAGAUGAAGUUAAGUAACUUGCCCAAGAAUAUAGCUAGUGAGUCCUGUGUCUGGGAUUAUAAUCCAAUUAUAUUUUAUUCUAAAGCUUUUUUUUUUUUUUUUGCUUUUUUUCCUUGCCCUAUCCUUUAAAUCAGGUUGAAUUUUAUGACAAUAUUCCACCAUUUUUGACCCAUAGAAAUGGCAGUGUCAUAAGGCUCAACCACUUAAACCAGAUUAAAGAACAAUGAUAGGCAAUUUUCAUUUCCUAUGUAUUAAAUCACUUACGGUUACAGCAUUUGAUAAUAGCUACUGUGUGUUAAUUUUCUUUUUUUUGAAACAGAAUUUCGCUCUUGUCACCCAGGCUGGAGUGCAAUGGCGCGAUCUCGGCUCACUGCAACCUCUGCCUCCCCGGUUCAAGUGAUUCUCCUGCCCCAGCCUCCCGAGCAGCUGGGAUUACAGGCAUGCGCCACCACGCCUAGCUAAUUUUGUAUUUUUAGUAGAGACGGGGGUUUCUCCAUGUUGGUCAGGCUGGUCUCGAACUCCCGACCUCAGGUGAUCCGCCCCCCUCAACCUCCCAAAGUGCUGGGAUUACAGGCGUGAGCCACGUGCCUGGCAGGUUACCUUUUCAAAUCUAUGUAGAUCACCUCAUUUCCUGACAGUCCCUCAAUGGUUUCUUAUCUC
rnacentral:lncRNA from 1 species